GACGAACGCUGGCAGCGUGCCUAAUACAUGCAAGUCGAGCGGACCACUUCGGGGGUCAGCGGCGGACGGGUGAGUAACACGUCGGCAACCUGCCUGUAAGACUGGGAUAACACCGGGAAACCGGUGCCAAUCUCGGAUAAUCCUUCCCUUCACAUGAGGGACAGCUGAAAGACGGUUUCGCCGCUCACUUACCGAGGGGCCCGCGGGGCAUUAGCUCGUUGGGGAGGUAACGGCUCACCAAGGCAACGAUGCGUAGCCGACCUGAGAGGUGUGAUCGGCCAGACUGGGACUGAGACACGGCCAAGACUCCUACGGGAGGCAGCAGUAGGGAAUCUUCCGCAAUGGACGAAAGUCUGACGGAGCAACGCAGGGUGAGCGACGAAGGCCAUCGGGUCGUAAAGCUCUGUUGUCAGGGAAGAACAAGUACCGGAGUAACUGCCGGUACCUUGACGGUACCUGACCAGAAAGCCACGGCUAACUACGUGCCAGCAGCCGCAGUAAAAC
rnacentral:rRNA from 1 species